CUAGAGAUAGAAGUUACUUCGGUACAUCGGUGACAGGUGGUGCAUGGUUGUCGUCAGCUCGUGUCGUGAGAUGUGGGUUAAGUCCCGCAACGAGCGCAACCCCUAUUGUUAGUUGCCAUCAUUCAGUUGGGCACUCUAGCGAGACUGCCGGUAAUAAACCGGAGGAAGGUGGGGAUGACGUCAAAUCAUCAUGCCCCUUAUGACCUGGGCUACACACGUGCUACAAUGGUUGGUACAACGAGUUGCGAGUCGGUGACGGCGAGCUAAUCUCUUAAAGCCAAUCUCAGUUCGGAUUGUAGGCUGCAACUCGCCUACAUGAAGUCGGAAUCGCUAGUAAUCGCGGAUCAGCACGCCGCGGUGAAUACGUUCCCGGGCCUU
rnacentral:rRNA from 1 species